GACGAACGCUGGCGGCGUGCUUAAAAACAUGCAAGUCGAACGGACUUCUCAUGAAGCUUGCGAUUGAGAAGUUAGUGGCGGACGGGUGAGUAACGCGUGGGCAACCUGCCCCUGAGCCCGGGAUAACAGUUCGAAAGGACUGCUAAGACCGGAUAUACUUGCGGUGAAGCAUUUCACUGCAAGGAAAGGGAACGCUCAGGGAUGGGCCCGCGUCCCAUUAGCUAGUUGGUGAGGUAACGGCCCACCAAGGCGACGAUGGGUAGCCGGCCUGAGAGGGUGAACGGCCACACUGGGACUGAGACACGGCCCAGACUCCUACGGGAGGCAGCAGUUGGGAAUCUUCGGCAAUGGGCGCAAGCCUGACCGAGCAACGCCGCGUGAGUGAUGAAGGUUUUCGGAUUGUAAAGCUCUGUCUUCCGGGACGAUAAUGACGGUACCGGAGGAGGAAGCCACGGCUAACUACGUG
rnacentral:rRNA from 1 species